CGUGUAGGCGGACGCGUAAGUCCGGUGUAAAAUCCCCCGGCUCAACCGGGGAAGGCCAUCGGAUACUGCGUGUCUGGAGUGCGGGAGGGGAGAGUGGAACUCUUGGUGGAGCGGUGAAAUGCGUAGAUAUCAAGAGGAACGCCGGUGGCGAAAGCGGCUCUCUGGCCCGUUACUGACGCUGAGGCGCGAAAGCUAGGGGAGCAAACGGGAUUAGAUACCCCGGUAGUCCUAGCCCUAAACGGUGGAUACUAAGUAGGGGCGACUCCGAUGUUGUCUCUGCUGUAGCCAACGUGCUAAGUAUCCCGCCUGGGGAGUACGGUCGCAAGGCUGAA
rnacentral:rRNA from 1 species